rnacentral:rRNA from 1 species
CCUACGGGGGGCAGCAGUGAGGAAUAUUGGUCAAUGGCCGGAAGGCUGAACCAGCCAUGCCGCGUGAAGGUCAGUGCCCUAUGGGCGUUAAACUUCUUUUGUGCGGGAGCAAUAAUGGUCACGUGUGGCCAGACGACAGUACCGUACGAAUAAGCAUCGGCUAACUCCGUGCCAGCAGCCGCGGUAAUACGGGGGAUGCAAGCGUUAUCCGGAUUUAUUGGGUUUAAAGGGUGCGUAGGCUGUGAGGUAAGUCAGCGGGGAAAUGCCCCGGCUCAACGGGGUGAAGUGCCAUUGAUACUGCCUUGCUGGAAGGCGGAUGCCGUGGGAGGAAUGUGUGGUGUAGCGGUGAAAUGCAUAGAUAUCACACAGAACACCGAUUGCGAAGGCAUCUCACGAAUCCGCGAUUGACGCUGAUGCACGAAAGCGUGGGUAUCAAACAGGAUUAGAUACCCGUGUAGUC